GUCACGUGGCCUGGGGGUCACGUGACCUCGAGGGGGCGGGCGGGCAGAAAAAAUUUUCUGCUAAAUUUAGCGGGGAAACUUUUCCGCUAAAUUUAGCGGGGAAAAUUUCCCGCUAGAUUUAGCGGGGAAAAUUUUCCGAUAGAUUUAGCGGGGAAAAUUUUCCGCUAAAUUUAGCGGGGAAAAGUUUCCGCUAGAUUUAGCGGGGAAAAUUUUCCGCUAGGUUUAGCGGGGAAAAUUUUCCGCUAGAUUUAGCGGGGAAAAUUUUCCGCU
rnacentral:SRP_RNA from 1 species